UCGCUUAGCGCCUGUAGCAGAUGUCAUGUGUGUUUAAGAUCUUAUGCCAGUUCACCUAGGAACUAAUUAAGGCGGAGCUAAUUUCAGGGGGAACUAUAAAAAUGAUGCACCACUGUGAGUAGAGAGACCAAUGCAUUCACUUCCAAGCAUUCAACAAGCUAAGGAAUGCUUAUGCUUUUCUUGAGUUUCUCCCUUCCGUAACCAGCCAAUGAGGUAUGUUUGUUUUGUAUGAUUUGUUGGUUUUGUUUGAUUUGAAGUGUGGUGUUGUUGUUGCUGUUUGUUUGGUGUGUGCAUUUAACUGUUUGUUUAUGAGCGGUGCUAUUUAUAAAGUUAAAUUGUAUUAGUUAAGAUUAUGUGAUCCAGUGUUAUGUGUGACCAUAAUGUGGUGAUUUGGAUUAAUUUGAUAUGGAAAUGCACUGUUGUAAUUCAUUGUUGUAUGUUUUUUAGUUCUUACGUCUGGUACACCCCUGAUGUCUUGUGGUUUGCUCUAUGUUGAGAACUGAAGACUUGCUAUGAAAAUAAACCAGUCAGUAGAAAUCAUAGACUCUUGCUCGUUUGUUGCUGGAGGGAGCUACAGUAAGAACUCAAGGCUCAUUGCGAGUAUGAAAGAAGAAGCAGGACAAUUUAACCAAUGAACUCAGUCAAGUGUUCUGUUGUGCAAAGCAACGAAGUGAAAUUAUACAUGGUUCAGCAAUAUCAGAAGGAAAGGACAUUGCCGGUGUAAUAUGGAGACGCAAGCAUAACUUGAAGAGCAGCACAAGUCAAGACCAGCAGUAAGAGUGGUGCAGUUAAGUGUGAUUAAAGGUACCUAACUGUGGUUAAUGACUGCAAAGACUUUAAGUAUUGUUUAAUAUUGUCAUGUUCCUUUCAAAAUGUUGGUGGUUUAUUAUUGACUUGUAUGUAAAUUAAGUACUGUUUAACUGCCUGUUUCUAUUGCUGUGAAAUAAGGGUAAAUUUCACUUUCAGUGUUUAAUCAAAUUAAGGCAUGAUUUAUGGUCUUAACUUUAAAUUAAGGAAUAAAUAAUAAAGAAAAGGAUUUUAGAAGUGAAAAAGGAGAAGUUUGAACAAUGUCAGAUUUAGGUGAGCGGCCCAUGGAUGAUAGAGUGAAUCAGCAACUUGCAACUCAGCCCUCAGUGAGAAGUAAGGUGGCAACGGAAACUUCUGAUGCUGUGGAGACUGAGCUACGAAGAGGAAAGAGGACUCGUAAGCUGACUGAAAAGGGUCAGAAGUUGCAAGAAGAGAAGUUGGAAAGGUAUGAACAGAGAUUCAAGGUCAGUUAUGAUAAAUGGAAAUCUCUUGUCAAAGAAGUAAAGUGGUUAUUAUCUGAGUCUUCUUCAAUUGAAUCAUUACAAGAUGUUAUGGCAAGAAUGACAAAGGCUUCUGCAGUUGUAGGCACUGGGUAUGAAGAUCUACGCCAUUUGAGUAUUCCUGACCAUGAUACACGCCGCCGAGUAGACCAUUGUGAAGCAGUCACAAAGAAAAUGGAGGUUUUGGUGAAGCAUUAUUUCGAAGGGAAUAAGGAAAUGGAGUCUGGAUGGAGUGACAUUGAGUUAUCUGAAGAGGUCAGUGUCGGCACAAGGAUUUCUAGAACAUCUACAUCGUCUCAAAGUAAGUCAAGAUCUUCUAAGUUUUCAAGUUUAUCUGCUGCCAAAAAACAAGAAGCUGCUGCUGAGGUUGCUGCUAAUGAAGCCACUUUAGAAGUCUUAAAGGAACAGGAUCGUCAGUUUAAGGAACUUCAGAAGCUUGAAGCUGAAGAUAAGAAGCGUAUAGCUGAACAAGAAGCUGAUGAUUUGAAGCGCCGUGAAGAAGAGGCUAAGGUGAAAGCUCAGCACGAGGUGGAAAAUGCAGCUAGACGUAAGUUAUUAGAAGAUAAACGCCGCGAACUGGAACGUUUGGAGACAGUUAAGAAGUUAAAUGCAGCUAAAGCACGUAUGCAGAUAUAUGAACAGAGUGAAGUUUCAGAAGAUGAUGAACUUUUGAGUGACUUGUCUCAUGACUGUGAAUUUAAAGAAAUCCAUGUGGAUAAAAGACACCACAGACCUGAUAAUUUGUCAACAAAAAAUGUCACUUUACAGCCAACAGUGACAACUCCACAAAUAGAUAAUACUUCUCUUGUCAAGGCUUUGACUGAAUCUAUGAGUGUCAAUCGACUUCCUGUGCCAGAACCAAUGGUUUUUAAUGGGGAUCCACUUAAGUUCAAUGAUUGGAAAACGUCCUUUCAAAUGUUAAUAGAGAAGAAAUCCAUUCCUGCAGUGGAGAAGAUUUUCUAUCUACGGAGGUAUGUAGGAGAUUCUGUCAAAAAGGCUCUUGAAGGCCAUUUUCUUCUUGGAACAGAUUCGGCUUAUUGUUCAGCUUGGAAGAUUUUGGAAGAAAGAUAUGGAAAUCCAUUUCUUAUAGCCAAAUCAUUUCGAGAGAAGCUUUAUGCUUGGCCAAAGAUUGGUCCCAAGGAAAGUUUGGAACUACAAGAGUUUGUAGAUUUCCUUCGUAGUUGUGAGGCUGCCAUUCCUCAAAUUAAAGAACUUGAAGUGUUAAAUGAUUGUAAUGAGAACCAAAAAAUUCUUGCCAAGCUGCCUGAUUGGUUAACUUCAAGAUGGAAUAGAGAGGUGAUGGAAACUGAAGAAAAUACUAAAACCUUUCCAAGUUUCAGCCAAUUUGUUAAGUUCCUCACAAAGGAAGCCAAGAUUGUGUGCAAUCCUAUAACAUCACUUUAUGCUCUGAAAUCAAGCGAUAAAGAAGGAACAAGGACGUUGAAGACUCGAAGCUCUGUGGGAAAGGUGUUGGCGACUAAUUCUGGUGGAGACAACCUCGUCUUGGUGAGUUGUGUUUUUUGUCAAAAAAAUGAUCAUAGUCUUCAUAAAUGUCAUAAGUUCAUGGAGAAGACAGUUGUUGAACGACACAAGUUUGUCUAUAAGAAGAUGUUAUGCUUUGGAUGUUUGAAGCCUGGACAUCAAUCAAGGAUUUGUCAAAACAGAAGUGUCUGUGACAUUUGUGCAAAAAACCAUCCUACCUGUCUUCAUGAAGAUCGUUCAAGGAGUGUUGGAAAUCAUGGGGUGACUGAAAGCUUUAAGAAGAGUACAGAUCUUUAUCAGCAUAGACACACAAGAGUUCUAAAUGAGGCAACUUCGAACCAGGUAAUGCAAGAAAUUAAUAAUACCUGCACUUCUUCUAUUAUACCUGUAUGGGUGUCUACAACAUCUGAACCAGAAAAAGAGGUUCUAGUAUAUGCUCUCCUUGAUACACAAAGUGAUACAACCUUUAUUCUUGAAGAGACUACACAUGCAUUGAAUGUUAAGAAGGAAGCAGUUCAAUUGAAACUUGCAACUAUGGCUUCAAAGAUUACAGUCGUUCCUUGUUUUAAAAUGAAGGGUCUUCAAGUUAGAGGGUUUUAUUCGAAAACUAGGAUUCCUCUGCCAACAACCUAUUCAAGAGAGUUUGUUCCUGCCAGCAAAGAUCACAUUCCUACACCACAAACAGCAAGAGUAUGGCCUCAUCUUGAACAUAUUGCAGAUGUCCUUGCUCCUCGACAAGGUUGUGAUGUUGGCUUAUUAAUUGGAUACAACUGUCCACAGGCUCUUCUUCCACGAGAGGUGGUGGCUGGUGAAGGAAAUCAACCUUUUGCACAGAGGACCGAUUUGGGAUGGAGUGUAAUUGGUCAUGGUAAUCCAUGUGUUGACUCUGGCGAUAUUUAUGGAACAAGUCAUCAGAUUAUUGUGAGGCAAGUAAUGCCAAGUAUACCUGCUUCUGUCAAUCUCAAAACGAAGGUGCACUAUGUCUGUCGAACACAAAUCAAAGAAGUGGUUUCUCCAAUAGAUGUCAUCAGGGUGUUUGAAUCUGAUUUUUGUGAGCAAGAAUCUGAGGAUUGCUGUAUGUCUCAAGAGGAUCUUCGAUUCCUAGGGAAAAUGAAAGCAGGUACAUCAUUAAAUAAGGCUGGACAUUAUGAGAUGCCACUACCAUUUAAAGGUGACAGGCCUAACUUGCCAAACAAUAAAGUCUGUGCAGUAUAUCGUCUCAAAUGUUUGGCAAGAAGAUUUAAGAAGGAUAUGCAGUAUUACAGUGAUUAUACUGCUUUCAUGAAUGAAAUCAUUGCCUGUGGAGAUGCUGAGAAGGUUCCACCUGAAGAAGCUGAGAAAUGUUCAGCAUGGUACAUUCCUCAUCAUGGAGUGUAUCAUCCAAAAAAGCCUGGAAAAAUUAGAGUUGUUUUUGAUUGUUCUGCAAGGUUUCAAGGAACUUCUUUAAAUGACCAUCUUUUGACAGGCCCAGAGCUGACAAAUACUCUAGUGGGUGUCUUGUGUCGUUUCAGGAAAAAUCCAGUUGCCAUUAUGUGUGACAUAGAACGCAUGUUUCAUCAGUUUCAUGUCAAAGCAGAGGACCGAGAUUAUCUUCGAUUCUUAUGGUGGGACAACGGCAAUUUGGAAGCUCAACCCUCAGUGUAUAAAAUGAAAGUUCAUUUAUUUGGUGCAGCUUCUUCCCCAGGUUGUGCAAAUUAUGGUCUUAAACAUCUUGCUGCUGAAGGAAAAGGAAUGUUCACUGAAGAUGUUAUUAGGUUCAUCCAAAGGAACUUUUACGUUGAUGAUGGAUUAGUAAGUGUUCCAACUGAAGCUGAAGCAAUUGCCCUUGUGACUGAAGCUAAGAAACUCUGUAGCACUGGGAAACUUCGACUUCACAAGUUCAUUUCCAACAGUAAGAAUGUUAUCGCUUCAAUUCCUCAAGAGGAUCUUGCUAAAGGAGUAAAGGAUUUGGAUCUGGAUCUGGGUGAGAUGUAUGUGGAGAGAGCACUUGGUGUUCAAUGGUCAAUUGCAUCUGAUGAAUUCCAGUUUAGAGUCAUUGUAAAGGAACAUCCAUUUACUCGCAGAGGAGUGUUGUCAACGAUAGCAUCUGUGUUUGAUCCACUUGGAUUUAUGGCACCAUUCAUUUUGGUGGGCAAGAAGAUCCUACAACAGCUGUGCUACAACAAGGCUAGUUGGGACGAUUCAUUGCCUGAAGACUUGCAAUCUCGAUGGGAACGUUGGCUUUUAGAUCUGCCAAAUUUAGCUGAUGUGAAGAUCCCACGAUGUUAUGUUCCACAGAUAAGUAACGAAGCCAUUCGUUUUGAACUCCAUCAUUUCUCUGAUGCUAGCAUCUCAGGAUAUGGGGAAUGCUCCUAUCUUCGAACAGUCAGUGCAUCAGGUGAGGUUCAUUGCUCUUUCGUCAUGGGAAAGUCACGAGUUGCACCAACAAAAAUAACUACUAUUCCAAGACUAGAACUUUCAGCUGCAGUGGUCGCUGUACGGGUCAGUGAUAUGCUGAAGAAAGAAUUGGACAUUAAGGAUUUACAGGAAUGUUUCUGGAUUGAUUCUAAGGUAGUUCUGGGAUACAUCAACAAUGAUGCUAGGAGAUUCCAAGUUUUUGUAGCUAAUCGUGUUCAACGUAUCAAGUUGAGUACUGAAUCGAAUCAAUGGAAAUAUGUAGGCACUGAAGACAAUCCUGCAGAUUCUGCUUCUAGAGGUUUGAUGGUUGAACAACUAGUGGCGUCAAGUUGGCUCAAGGGACCAAAAUUCUUGUGGCAGAAAGAUCUUCCCAGUGAUGAAGUUAAGGUGGGAGAUGUGAUCACAAGUAAUGAUCCAGAGCUUCGAAAGGUUCAAGUUUUCAAUAUCCAAGCAAAUAAAGAAAAAUCAUUGUUAGAACGUCUUCUCAAAUUCUCGGACUGGGCAAGGAUGGUGAAGGCCAUUGCCAGACUUAAACGGUAUGUAAGAGAAGCUAAAGGUUUUGAAUCCAAAGCUUUUGAACCUACUACUUUGGAGCAAAGGAAAGAUGCUGAGCUCUUUAUCAUUCGGUUAGUUCAAGAAGCAACCUUUUCCCAUGAAAUGACGAGUCUCAAGAAACAACUAGCAUUUACAUCUGAUGCUCAAACCAAAAGCCAGUUGUACAAGUUAAGUCCUUUCCUGGAUAAUCAAGGCAUACUGCGAGUUGGAGGUCGCUUGGCAAAUGCAACUCUUCAUUUAGACGUAAAAUAUCCUGCCAUUCUUCCAAGGAAAAAUCAUUUCUCAGCAUUACUAAUCAAACAUUAUCACGAACGAGUACAACAUCAAGGGCGAGGAAUGACCGUGAAUGAACUUCGGUCCAAUGGUAUAUGGAUUCUUGGAUGCAGUAGUGCUGUUUCUUCUCACAUAUACAAAUGCCUGAAAUGUAGGAAAUUUAGAAGGUGUGUAGAAGAACAGAAAAUGGCUGAUCUUCCUGAAGAUCGUGUGCAGCCAACUCCACCUUUUCUAUUGUGUGGAAUGGAUUGUUUUGGACCUUUUUAUGUUACCGAUGGUAGAAGGCAACUCAAACGCUAUGGGUUAUUGUUGACUUGUAUGUGUUCCAGAGCCAUACACAUUGAAAUGCUUGAUGCUCUGUCUACUGAUGCAUUUAUUAAUGCUCUCCGCUCCUUUAUAGCCAUUCGUGGAACAGUUCGCCAAAUUCGAUGUGAUCAGGGUACGAACUUUGUGGGGGCAAGCAGAGAAUUUAUGAGCACAUUGAAAACAAUGGAUCAAGGGCAGAUAAAGAAACUUGGCUGCGAGUUGAUCAUGAACAUUCCAUCAGCAAGUCAUAUGGGAGGUGUCUGGGAAAGACAGAUCCGUACCGUAAGAAAUGUUUUGACUUCUGUUCUUGACCAAUGUCCUGGGGCACUUGACAGUACUUCCCUGCGAACUCUGUUGUAUGAGGUUAUGGCUAUUGUGAAUAGCAGGCCUUUGACUGUUGAGCAUUUGAAUGACCCUCUAGGUCCAGAACCUCUUACCCCAAAUCACAUCUUGACAAUGAAGUCUAUGAUUGUGGAACCACCACCUGGAGAGUUUGUCAAAGAAGAUCUUUAUCUCCGUAAACGAUGGCGCAAAGUGCAGUAUUUAGUCAACAACUUCUGGUCGCGCUGGAGAAAAGAGUACCUUUUAAAUCUUCAGCAAAGACAGAAAUGGAAUAAGAAUCGCAGGAAUGUUAAAGUGAAUGACAUAGUAAUCCUUAAAGAUGAUGUUUCACCACGUAACAAGUGGAAAUUGGCAAAGGUGGUAGACGUGUACCAAGGAAAGGAUGGCAAAGUGAGACAAGUCAAGUUGUUAAUGAGUGACUCUUCGCUUGAUGGAAAGGGUAAGCGAUUGUCUAAACCAAGUUACCUUGAGCGUCCAAUACAGAAGGUAGUCAUUCUUCUUGAAGCUGAUUGAAGACUGCUUGAUUUCACACUAUCACUCCAUGGGUUGCAUUAUUUUUCAUAAUUGUGUUUAAGUGUGAUUUAUAAAACAGGAAAAAAUCACAAGUGAUUUGGUGGGAGUGUAGCAGAUGUCAUGUGUGUUUAAGAUCUUAUGCCAGUUCACCUAGGAACUAAUUAAGGCGGAGCUAAUUUCAGGGGGAACUAUAAAAAUGAUGCACCACUGUGAGUAGAGAGACCAAUGCAUUCACUUCCAAGCAUUCAACAAGCUAAGGAAUGCUUAUGCUUUUCUUGAGUUUCUCCCUUCCGUAACCAGCCAAUGAGUUCUUACGUCUGGUACACCCCUGAUGUCUUGUGGUUUGCUCUAUGUUGAGAACUGAAGACUUGCUAUGAAAAUAAACCAGUCAGUAGAAAUCA